rnacentral:rRNA from 1 species
UACGAAGGGUGCAAGCGUUAAUCGAAAUUACUGGGCGUAAAGCGCGCGUAGGUGGUUCAGUAAGUUGGAAGUGAAAUCCCCGGGCUCAACCUGGGAACUGCUUUCAAAACUGCUGAGCUAGAGUACGGUAGAGGGUGGUGGAAUUUCCUGUGUAGCGGUGAAAUGCGUAGAUAUAGGAAGGAACACCAGUGGCGAAGGCGACCACCUGGACUGAUACUGACACUGAGGUGCGAAAGCGUGGGGAGCAAACAGG